CAGUAGCCGCGGUAAAACGGAGGGUGCAAGCGUUAAUCGGAAUUACUGGGCGUAAAGCGCACGCAGGCGGUUUGUUAAGUCAGAUGUGAAAUCCCCGGGCUCAACCUGGGAACUGCAUUUGAAACUGGCAAGCUAGAGUCUCGUAGAGGGGGGUAGAAUUCCAGGUGUAGCGGUGAAAUGCGUAGAGAUCUGGAGGAAUACCGGUGGCGAAGGCGGCCCCCUGGACGAAGACUGACGCUCAGGUGCGAAAGCGUGGGGAGCAAACAGGAUUAGAUACCCCAGUAGUCCCUGUCUCUUAUAC
rnacentral:rRNA from 1 species